rnacentral:rRNA from 1 species
AGCGAACGCUGGCGGCAGGCUUAACACAUGCAAGUCGAGCGGGCGUAGCAAUACGUCAGCGGCAGACGGGUGAGUAACGCGUGGGAACGUACCUUUUGGUUCGGAACAACACAGGGAAACUUGUGCUAAUACCGGAUAAGCCCUUACGGGGAAAGAUUUAUCGCCGAAAGAUCGGCCCGCGUCUGAUUAGCUAGUUGGUGAGGUAAUGGCUCACCAAGGCGACGAUCAGUAGCUGGUCGAGAGGAUGAUCAGCCACAUUGGGACUGAGACACGGCCCAAACUCCUACGGGAGGCAGCAGUGGGGAAUAUUGGACAAUGGGCGCAAGCCUGAUCCAGCCAUGCCGCGUGAGUGAUGAAGGCCUAGGGUUGUAAAGCUCUUUUGUGCGGGAAGAUAAUGACGGUACCGCAAGAAUAAGCCCC